GAUGAACGCUGGCGGCGUGCCUAAUACAUGCAAGUCGAGCGAACGGACGCGUUGCUUGCUUCUCUGAUGUUAGCGGCGGAAGUGAGAGUAACACGUGGAUACCCUACCUAUAAGACAGGGAUAACUACGGGAAACCGGAGCUAAUACCGGCUGAUAUUUUGAACCGCAUGGUUCAAAAGUGAACGACGGUCUUGCUGUCACUUAUAGAUGGAUCCGCGCUGCAUUAGCUAGUUGGUAAGGUAAAGGCUUACCAAGGCAACGAUGCAUAGCCGACCUGAGAGGGUGAUCGGCCACACUGGAACUGAGACACGGUCCAGACUCCUACGGGAGGCAGCAGUAGGGAAUCUUACGCAAUGGGCGAAAGCCUGACGGAGCAACGCCGCGUGAGUGAUGAAGGUCUUCGGAUCGUAAAACGCUGUUAUAAGGGAAGAACAUAUGUGUAAGUAACUGUGCACAUCUUGACGGUACCUAAUCAGAAAGCCACGGCUAACUACGUG
rnacentral:rRNA from 1 species